UCCUGGCAGCCAUCUUGCUUACCAUGGGGAGGUUCCCCUUGUGAGGAAUGAUGUGUGGCCGAGACGAGCCCGUUUGAGAAAUGCAGGGUCAGAGCGACAAAGUCCUCACAACGCACUGGAGUCCCAGGGAUGACACAGAUGCCGAUCUAUGUACAUUUCCUUUGGCCCGUUUGAUAUACCAUGGCAGGUCACGGACAUACCAACAUUGAGGGUAACAGGGCUACUUCCCUCCACGAACUGACAAACUGCUGACCAUCGAGACUCUUUAUGUGCCCAGAAAAGCACCUAGUACAUAGUAUGUGAUUAAUAAAUGUUUCUGAAACAAAUGAGUCUGCUAUCAAACCUUGCUGCAGUCACCCACCACUCUGGAACUCCAGGACUGGAAACAAAGUCUACUUAGCUGAAAGAAUCACAAAAUCGUUAACUAAUCUCCUGCCGUGUGUCAUAUCAUAGGACUCCUCAGAUGGACGAGGCAGGAUUGUGGAAUACUAAGAAGUAAAAGACGGGAUAAAAAGACAACCAUGUUUGAUUACCCUCUGCAGUCGAAGGAUUUGAAAGUCAUGACACUGGUUAUUACUACGGUCUUUGGAGAGAUGAACAGAAACUUAAUCUAUCUAAUAAAAUUGCCUCAAGAGAUAAA